rnacentral:rRNA from 1 species
GCUCAAAUUUGAAAUCUAGCACUUUCAGUGUUCGAGUUGUAAUUUGAAGAAGGUAACUUUGGAAUUGGCUCUUGUCUAUGUUCCUUGGAACAGGACGUCACAGAGGGUGAGAAUCCCGUGCGAUGAGAUGUCCAAUUCUAUGUAAAGUGCUUUCGAAGAGUCGAGUUGUUUGGGAAUGCAGCUCUAAGUGGGUGGUAAAUUCCAUCUAAAGCUAAAUAUUGGCGAGAGACCGAUAGCGAACAAGUACAGUGAUGGAAAGAUGAAAAGAACUUUGAAAAGAGAGUGAAAAAGUACGUGAAAUUGUUGAAAGGGAAGGGCUUGAGAUCAGACUUGGUAUUUUGUGUUCCUUAUCCUUCUUGGAUUAGGUUCCUCACAGCUUACCGGGCCAGCAUCGGUUUGGAUGGCAGGAUAAUGACAUUGGAAUGUAGCUUUGCUUCGGUGAAGUGUUAUAGACUUUGUUGAUACUGCCUAUCUAGACCGAGGACUGCGUCUUUG